AUUGAACGCUGGCGGCAGGCUUAACACAUGCAAGUCGAGCGGGGGAGGUUGCUUCGGUAACUGACCUAGCGGCGGACGGGUGAGUAAUGCUUAGGAAUCUGCCUAUUAGUGGGGGACAACAUUCCGAAAGGGAUGCUAAUACCGCAUACGCCCUACGGGGGAAAGCAGGGGAUCUUCGGACCUUGCGCUAAUAGAUGAGCCUAAGUCGGAUUAGCUAGUUGGUGGGGUAAAGGCCUACCAAGGCGACGAUCUGUAGCGGGUCUGAGAGGAUGGUCGGCCAAACUGGGACUGAGACACGGCCCAGACUCCUACGGGAGGCAGCAGUGGGGAAUAUUGGACAAUGGGCGGAAGCCUGAUCCAGCCAUGCCGCGUGUGUGAAGAAGGCCUUUUGGUUGUAAAGCACUUUAAGCGAGGAGGAGGCUCUUAAGGUUAAUACCCUUGAUGAGUGGACGUUACUCGCAGAAUAAGCACCGGCUAACUCUGUGCCAGCCGCCGCAGUAACAC
rnacentral:rRNA from 1 species